GACGUUGAUAGGCGGGUGUGUAAGCGCAGCGAUGCGUUGAGCUAACCGGUACUAAUGAACCGUGAGGCUUAACCUUACAACGCCGAAG
rnacentral:rRNA from 1 species